AAGGUUUUAGCUUAAUUAAAGCAUCUGCUUUGCAUGCAGAAGAUGUGGGUUAGUGCCCCGCAAGUCUUA
rnacentral:tRNA from 1 species